rnacentral:rRNA from 1 species
GUAGGUAACCUGCCUUGUAGCGGGGGAUAACUAUUGGAAACGAUAGCUAAUACCGCAUAACAAUGGAUGACACAUGUCAUUUAUUUGAAAGGGGCAAUUGCUCCACUACAAGAUGGACCUGCGUUGUAUUAGCUAGUAGGUGAGGUAAUGGCUCACCUAGGCGACGAUACAUAGCCGACCUGAGAGGGUGAUCGGCCACACUGGGACUGAGACACGGCCCAGACUCCUACGGGAGGCAGCAUG